GCCAGACUCCUACGGGAGGCAGCAGUGGGGAAUAUUGCACAAUGGGGGGAACCCUGAUGCAGCGACGCCGCGUGGGUGAAGGAGUAUUUCGGUAUGUAAAGCCCUAUCAGCAGGGAAGAACAAUGACGGUACCUGACUAAGAAGCACCGGCUAAAUACGUGCCAGCAGCCGCGGUAAUACGUAUGGUGCGAGCGUUGUCCGGAUUUACUGGGCGUGAAGGGGGCGCAGGCGGCGCGCCAAGCCCGAUGUGAAAGCCCGGGGCUCAACCCCGGGACUGCAUUGGGAACUGGCGUGCUGGAGUGCCGGAGGGGCAGGCGGAAUUCCUGGUGUAGCGGUGAAAUGCGUAGAUAUCAGGAGGAACACCGGUGGCGAAGGCGGCCUGCUGGACGGAUACUGACGCUGAGGCCCGAAAGCGUGGGGAGCGAACAGGAUUAGAUACCCCGGUA
rnacentral:rRNA from 1 species